rnacentral:sRNA from 1 species
GAAGCGAGAGAACGUUGCGUCAGCAACGGCCCGCAGGGCGAGUCACGCAGUGGCGAGUCAUCCUCUAUCACCGACCA